rnacentral:lncRNA from 10 species
UCUGAAGAAGGCAAUUCUCUUUAAUCCCUUUGGUUGUGAAGUGCAGAUCCCUGGCAAUGGAACCCUUCCACAGGGGAACAUCUUAAGUAUUUUAUUUGUUUGUUUUCAGUGGCUUAUAGCAACACAAAGUUAUUAUCCCAUGGUUUCUGUGGGCCUAGAACCCAGUGCAGAUUAGCAGGAUGCUUUGUCUCUGGGUCUCUGACAAGGCUACAUUCAAGGGUCAACUGGGGAUGGAUUCAUUUCUAAGCUCACUCCAGUAGUUGGCAAGAUUCAUUUUUCUCACACAAGUUUUGAACUGAAGGCUUCAGUUCCUCAGGAGCUAUUGGCCACAAUAGGUCUCAUCUAAGAAGUGUCCACUCAAAGACAAUUCCAUUUCAGCACAGGUACUCUCAGACCAUCUGAAAGACAAAAAGAUCAAGUCACAGCAAGGUCAAAUCCUACUGUCUCUUGCGUGUUCUUCCAGCUCCCUGCGCAGUUCCACAGGCUGUACAGGAAGCAUGGCUU